rnacentral:rRNA from 1 species
UAAUACGGAGGGGGCCAGCGUUGUUCGGAAUCAUUGGGCGUAAAGGGCGCGUAGGCGGCCGAUCAAGUCCGACGUGAAAUUCCUCGGCUCAACCGAGGGCCUGCGUCGGAUACUGCUCGGCUUGAGUCCCGGAGAGGGUAGUGGAAUUCCCAGUGUAGCGGUGAAAUGCGUAGAUACUGGGAGGAACACCGGUGGCGAAGGCGGCUACCUGGACGGGUACUGACGCUGAGGCGCGAAAGCUAGGGGAGCAAACAGGAUUAGAUACCCUGGUAGUCCUAGCUGUAAACGAUGGGCACUUGGUGUUGCGGGUAUCGACCCCUGCAGUGCCGAAGCUAACGCAUUAAGUGCCCCGCCUGGGGAGUACGGUCGCAAGGCUG